rnacentral:rRNA from 1 species
GGGUUGUGAGGUUAAGCGAAUAAGCGUACACGGUGGAUGCCUAGGCAAUCAGAGGCGAUGAAGGACGUGCUAAUCUGCGAAAAGCGUCGGUAAGGUGAUAUGAACCGUUAUACCCGACGAUAUCCGAAUGGGGAAACCCAGUAUCCAAUGGAUACUAUCAUUAACUGAAUCCAUAGGUUAAUGAGGCGAACCGGGAGAACUGAAACAUCUCAGUACCCCGAGGAAAAGAAAUCAACCGAGAUUCCCCUAGUAGCGGCGAGCGAACGGGGAGCAGCCCAGAGUCUUAAUCAAUAGCAGUGUCAGGAGAACGGUCUGGAAAGUCCGGCAGUAAAGGGUGAUAGCCCCGUAUCUGAAGAUGCUGUUAUUGUGAACUCGACGAGUAGGGCGGGACACGUGUUAUCCUGUCUGAAUAUGGGGGGACCAUCCUCCAAGGCUAAAUACUCCUGAUUGACCGAUAGUGAACCAGUACCGUGAGGGAAAGGCGAAAAGAACCCCGGCGAGGGGAGUGAAAAAGAACCUGAAACCGUGUACGUACAAGCAGUAGGAGCCUCUUUAUGGGGUGACUGCGUACCUUUUGUAUAAUGGGUCAGCGACUUAUAUUCUGUAGCAAGGUUAACCGUAUAGGGGAGCCGUAGGGAAACCGAGUCUUAACUGGGCGAAUGAGUUGCAGGGUAUAGACCCGAAACCCGGUGAUCUAUCCAUGGGCAGGUUGAAGGUUGGGUAACACUAACUGGAGGACCGAACCGACUAAUGUUGAAAAAUUAGCGGAUGACUUGUGGAUGGGGGUGAAAGGCCAAUCAAACCGGGAGAUAGCUGGUUCUCCCCGAAAGCUAUUUAGGUAGCGCCUCGUGAACUCAUCUUCGGGGGUAGAGCACUGUUUCGACUAGGGGGUCAUCCCGACUUACCAACUCGAUGCAAACUGCGAAUACCGAAGAAUGUUAUCACGGGAGACACACGGCGGGUGCUAACGUCCGUCGUGAAGAGGGAAACAACCCAGACCGCCAGCUAAGGUCCCAAAGUCAUGGUUAAGUGGGAAACGAAGUGGGAAGGCUCAGACAGCCAGGAUGUUGGCUUAGAAGCAGCCAUCAUUUAAAGAAAGCGUAAUAGCUCACUGGUCGAGUCGGCCCGCGCGGAAGAUGUAACGGGGCUAAACCAUGCACCGAAGCUGCGGCAGCGACACAAAGUGUUGUUGGGUAGGGGAGCGUUCUGUAAGCCUGCGAAGGUGUACUGUGAGGUAUGCUGGAGGUAUCAGAAGUGCGAAUGCUGACAUAAGUAACGAUAAUGCGGGUGAAAAACCCGCACGCCGGAAGACCAAGGGUUCCUGUCCAACGUUAAUCGGGGCAGGGUGAGUCGACCCCUAAGGCGAGGCUGAAAAGCGUAGUCGAUGGGAAACGGGUUAAUAUUCCCGUACUGGUGGUAACUGCGAUGGGGGAACGGAGAAGGCUAGGUUGUCCGGGCGACGGUCGUCCCGGUUCAAGCAGGUAGGCAGAGUGAUUAGGCAAAUCCGGUCACUUAAUGCUGAGAUGUGAUGACGAACCACCAAGGUGGUGAAGCAAUUGAUGCCCCGCUUCCAGGAAAAGCCUCUAAGCUUCAGGUUACCAACAAUCGUACCCCAAACCGACACAGGUGGUCAGGUAGAGAAUACUCAGGCGCUUGAGAGAACUCGGGUGAAGGAACUAGGCAAAAUGGUGCCGUAACUUCGGGAGAAGGCACGCUGGCGGUAGGUAAAGUCCCUCGCGGACGGCGCUGAAGCCAGUCGAAGAUACCAGCUGGCUGCAACUGUUUAUUAAAAACACAGCACUGUGCAAACACGAAAGUGGACGUAUACGGUGUGACGCCUGCCCGGUGCUGGAAGGUUAAUUGAUGGGGUCAGCCGCAAGGCGAAGCUCCUGAUCGAAGCCCCAGUAAACGGCGGCCGUAACUAUAACGGUCCUAAGGUAGCGAAAUUCCUUGUCGGGUAAGUUCCGACCUGCACGAAUGGCGUAAUGAUGGCCAGGCUGUCUCCACCCGAGACUCAGUGAAAUUGAACUCGCUGUGAAGAUGCAGUGUACCCGCGGCAAGACGGAAAGACCCCGUGAACCUUUACUAUAGCUUGACACUGAACAUUGAGCCUUGAUGUGUAGGAUAGGUGGGAGGCUUUGAAGUGUGGACGCCAGUCUGCAUGGAGCCAACCUUGAAAUACCACCCUUUAACGUUUGAUGUUCUAACCUAGGCCCAUAAACUGGGUCGGGGACCGUGUCUGGUGGGUAGUUUGACUGGGGCGGUCUCCUCCUAAAGAGUAACGGAGGAGCACGAAGGUUGGCUAAGCAUGGUCGGACAUCAUGCGGUUAGUGCAAAGGCAUAAGCCAGCUUGACUGCGAGAGUGACGGCUCGAGCAGGUACGAAAGUAGGUCUUAGUGAUCCGGUGGUUCUGAAUGGAAGGGCCAUCGCUCAACGGAUAAAAGGUACUCCGGGGAUAACAGGCUGAUACCGCCCAAGAGUUCAUAUCGACGGCGGUGUUUGGCACCUCGAUGUCGGCUCAUCACAUCCUGGGGCUGAAGUAGGUCCCAAGGGUAUGGCUGUUCGCCAUUUAAAGUGGUACGCGAGCUGGGUUUAGAACGUCGUGAGACAGUUCGGUCCCUAUCUGCCGUGGGCGUUGGAAGAUUGAGAGGGGUUGCUCCUAGUACGAGAGGACCGGAGUGAACGCACCACUGGUGUUCGGGUUGUCAUGCCAAUGGCAUUGCCCGGUAGCUAAGUGCGGAAGAGAUAACCGCUGAAAGCAUCUAAGCGGGAAACUUGCCUCGAGAUGAGUCUUCCCUGUCGCUUUAAGCGACCUAAAGGAACGUUUAAGACUAAGACGUUGAUAGGCUGGGUGUGUAAGCGUAGCGAUACGUUGAGCUAACCAGUACUAAUGAACCGUGAGGCUUAACCUGACAACACCGAAAGUGUUUUG